UACGUAGGGGCAAGGCGUUGUCCGGAUUUAUUGGGCGUAAAGAGCGUGUAGGCGGCUAGGUAGGUCCGCUGUUAAAACUCCGAGGCUUAACCUCGAGAGGUCGGUGGAAACCCUCUGGCUAGAGUCCGGAAGAGGAGAGUGGAAUUCCUGGUGUAGCGGUGAAAUGCGCAGAUAAUCAGGAAGAACACCGUGGCGAAGGCGGCUCUCUGGGACGGUACUGACGCUGAGACGCGAAAGCGUGGGGAGCGAACAGGA
rnacentral:rRNA from 1 species